AAGCAAUUGGGGCUACCGAAAGGGCUGCUAAUACCCAAUAAUACUAUAGGUGCAAAAGCACUUGUGGUCAAAUGCUAGGAAUUCUGUUCCUUGUGCUUAAAGAGGGGUUAAUGUCCUAUCAGCUAGUUGGUGGGGUAAUGGCCAUACCAAGGCAAAGACGGGUAGCCGGCUUGAGAGGGUGGUCGGCCACACUGGGACUGAGACACUGCCCAGACUCCUACGGGAGGCUGCAGUCGAGAAUCUUUCGCAAUGCCCGAAAGGUGACGAAGCGACGCCGCGUGUGGGAAGAAGGCCUUCGGGUUGUAAACCACUGUCGGGAGUUAGGAAAUGCAGAGUGCGUUAAUAGCGCACUUGCUUGACUAAGGCUCCAGAGGAAGCCACGGCUAACUCUGUGCCAGCAGCCGCGGUAAUACAGAGGCGGCAAGCGUUGUUCGGAAUUAUUGGGCGUAAAGAGCACGUAGGCGGCCUUGCAAGUCAGUUGUGAAAGCCUUCCGCUUAACGGAAGAACGGCAUCUGAUACUACAGGGCUUGAGUACGGGAGGGGAGAGUGGAACUUCUGGUGGAGCGGUGAAAUGCGUAAAUAUCAGAAGGAACGCCGGCGGCANAAGCGACUCUCUGGUCCGAAACUGACGCUGAGUGUGCGAAAGCAAGGGGAGCAAACGGGAUUAGAUACCCCGGUAGUCCUACCCGUAAACGAUGGGCACUAAGUAGAGGGGUUUUGAUUAUUUCUCUGCCGGAGCUAACGCAUUAAGUGCCCCGCCUGGGGAGUACGGCCGCAAGGCUAAAAACUCAAAAGAAUUGACGGGGGCUCGCACAAGCGGUGGAGCAUGUGGCUUAAUUCGAUGCAACGCGAAGAACCUUACCGGGGCUUGACAUGGUAGAAGUAGAAUCCUGAAAGGGUGAACGAUCGGUAUCCAGUCCGAAGCUAUCACAGGUGUUGCAUGGCUGUCGUCAGCUCGUGCGUGAGACGUUGGGUUAAGUCCCCUAACGAGCGAAACCCUUGUCUUUAGUUGCUAACGGGUAAUGCUGAGCACUUUAGAGAGACUGCCGUCGUUAAGACGAGANNNAGACGACGUCAAGUACAUUCAUGCCAUUAUGUCCCGGACUGCACACGUGCUACAAUGGUCGGUACAAAGGGAUGCUAAGUCGACGAGAUGGUGACGAAACCUAAUAAAGCCGAUCUCAGUUCAGAUUGGAGGCUAGAAACUCGCCAUCACAUGAAGUUGGAAUCGCUAGUAAUCGCGGAUCACGUACGCACGCGGUGAAUAUGUUCACCGAGCUCUUAGUAUCACACUCGCCCGUCAAUGCUCACCACAAGCAAGAUGCACCACAAAAUCGCCUGCCUAACCCGUAAGGGAGGGAAGUGACCUAAGGUGUGUUUUAGUGAGAAGGACUAAGUCGUAACAAGGUAACC
rnacentral:rRNA from 1 species